rnacentral:piRNA from 1 species
UACUUCGAAGAAGACGCUCUUUACUGGAC